CCCUUAGAUGUCCUGGGCCGCACGCGCGUUACACUGAUGCAUUCAACGAGCUUAUAACCUUGGCCGAGAGGCCUGGGCAAUCUUGUUAACGUGCAUCGUGAUAGGGAUGGAUUAUUGAAAUUAUUAAUCUUGAACGAGGAAUUCCUAGUAAACGCAGAUCAUCAAUCUGCAUUGAUUACGUCCCUGCCCUUUGUACACACCGCCCGUCGCACCUACCGAUUGGAUGGUCCGGUGAAGCCUCGGGAUUGUGGUUCUUGCCGCUUUAUUGUGGCGUGACCGCGAGAACUUGUCUAAACCUUAUCAUCUAGAGGAAGGUGGAGUCGUAACA
rnacentral:rRNA from 1 species